CGCCCCGUCCACGUCCUCCACAGUACACAAUGGCCCCAGAGGAAGGCCCGCUCGCAGCACGUCAGAAAGGAACUGGACUCGGAGAGAAAUGAGGGGCCUGGACUCGCCCGGGAACUAAAGUGGAAACGGGAAAGGAAAUGGAAGAAGGGAUGCAAGGCACGAAGGAGCUAACCAAUAAGGGGUGGCAGUUACCUGUGGACAAGCAGAGUUUGAAAAUAGACAACAGGCCCAACCAUGAGAAUUAGAACGUCACUUGGCAGCUGGAUCCCUUUUCUUUCCUCAGAGACGAUGACACCUCAGGAAAGUGCUUACCUCCACAUACUUCCUGAAGCCUUAAAAGUCACAGACAGGUCACAAAAUCCACCAAGAAAACUGCCACCUGUUUCCUUUGGAAGAAGUUGCUCAAGAGGAAGCACAAUUCAAAGAUCCUAACUACUCCUCUGUCCUAGAUUGGAACAGCCUAAAGAGGAUAAACCCCUAACUUCUGAGUAUGCAUGAAGCCUCCAGGACAUGGGCCUUACCUGUACACCUGACAUGUCUUAUCCACAGCCACUUCCCUAUUGCAGGAAUAAUCAACUCCAGCAAGUAAUUCCUGUCUACAUUCAGCCUCCAGCUAGUCCUCAAAAUUACAAGUUAUACGUCUCUACCAGUCUAUGGCUUCAGCAGCUUUUCCUCCAGGUAAGCAGAUCUCAUCUGUGACUCCAUCUACUCAUCUGUCUUCUCAGAUUUCAAGGUGGCAGUGUAACUUUUGUUGUAAAGGUGACAGUGAUGACUUCUAAGCUCAAUACAUAUCGCAGCUGAAACUGAACUUUUGUUUAACUUUCACAAAAGUGCCAAACUAGUUGCAAAAUGGUUGUUCCAUUUUAUGUUCCCACUGGCAGUGCAUAGAAUUACAUUUGGUUUACUUUCUAACACUUGGAAUGGACAAUCUUUUAAGUGAUAGACAAUGUAAUAAGUGCUGCCUUAUUUUGAUUUUAAUUCUGAUUUCCCUAGUAUCUAAUUAUGUUGAACAUCUUUUCAUGUGAUUAUUUGCCAUCAUGUACAUUCUUUGGUAAAGAGUCAGUUCAAAGAGUUUUCCUAUUUUUGUGCGGGAGAGCAGUGUUUGUUGUUUUUUUGCUAAGUUCUAUAUACAAGUCCUUUAUCAGAUAUGUGAUUUAACAAUAUUUUUUCCUACUCUGUGUCUUGGCUUUUUAUUUUCUGCAAUAUAUUUAUAAAGGAGUUCUAAAUGUUGAAGUCUAACUUAUUUUUCUUUGUAUGAAUUAUGCUUUUGGUGACAUAUGUAAUAAACCUUUGCUUAGCCGACAUCAAAAAUUUUUCUUCUAUGUUUUAUUUUGGAUACUUUAUAAUUUUAGGUUUUACAUUUAAGUUUAUGACAUGGUAGAAUUAAUUGGUAAAUAUGUUGAGAGUUAAGGAUUGAUGAUUAUUUUUUGGUAUGUGGACAUCAAAUUUGUCCAGCAUUAUUUGAUGAAAAGACCAUCCUUUCUUCACAGAAUUGCCUUUGCACCUUUUCCAAAAAUUAGUAGUCCAUAUAUGUUUGAGUAUUGUAUUAGUCCGUUUUCACAGUGCUGUAAAGACAUACCAGAGAAUGGGUAAUUUAUAAAGGAAAGAGGUUUAAUUGACUCACAGUUCCACAUGGCUAGGGAGGCCUCAGGAAAUUUACAGUCAUGGCAGUAGGCAAAGGGGAAGCAAAGACCUUCUUCACAUGGAGGCAGGAAAGAGAGUGUGUGAACGAGGAACUGUCAAACACUUAUAAAACCAUUAGAUCUCGUGAGAACUCAUUAUCAAGAGAACAGC